UGCAGAGCAAUCUCAUAGCUGCUUCCUUGUCUAAAGAGAACGUUUGCUCCUGUUAGCCUGUGAAUGAAAGGGAAGAAUGAAAAUGGAAGAUGGAAAUUGAUGGUGGAACUUCAGGAAUAUCAGAAACAUCUUCCAAUAACUUCUACAUGAAAGUCUACUACAUUUACACUUCAAGUAAUUGCUCUGCAAAUGAAAACUACAUCCCUUCAUAUGUUAUGUGAAGGAAAGCUGUGGACACAGACUGCAUCUCUUUCUAUCAGUCUGCAACAAGAGCUGUCAGUAUGCUGUGAGGAAACGAACAGUGUGUAUUGUUCACAGAGGUUCGGCUUUACUGAAGAAUAUAUCCAGAAAAUAUUAGAGGAGUCAGGAGAUCCCUGUCUUUUUUUGAACAGGGAAGCCCAGAACUGGAUGCAGUACUCCAGAUGUGGCCUCACCAGGGCAGAAGAAUCACCUCCCUUGAACUGCUGGCCACACCCUUCUUGAUGCACCUAAGGAUACCCAUUGGUUUUCAUGUCCAGAGGGGCACACUGCUGGCUCAGUGGCCUGUUAUCCACCAUCUUAUUCACCAUUAUCUUGCUUUAUUAGUGCUUUAUUACAUAGGUAUCUACUGUAUAGGGGAAUCAUAACUUAAUUCUGAA
ensembl:lncRNA